GGGUUGUGAGGUUAAGCGACUAAGCGUACACGGUGGAUGCCCUGGCAGUCAGAGGCGAUGAAGGGCGUGCUAAUCUGCGAUAAGCGCCGGUAAGGUGAUAUGAACCGUUAUAACCGGCGAUACCCGAAUGGGGAAACCCAGUGUGAUUCGUCACACUAUCAUUAACUGAAUCCAUAGGUUAAUGAGGCGAACCGGGGGAACUGAAACAUCUAAGUACCCCGAGGAAAAGAAAUCAACCGAGAUUCCCCCAGUAGCGGCGAGCGAACGGGGAGGAGCCCAGAGCCUGAAUCAGCAUGUGUGUUAGUGGAAGCGUCUGGAAAGGCGCGCGAUACAGGGUGACAGCCCCGUACACAAAAGCGCAUGUGCUGUGAGCUCGAUGAGUAGGGCGGGACACGUGGUAUCCUGUCUGAAUAUGGGGGGACCAUCCUCCAAGGCUAAAUACUCCUGACUGACCGAUAGUGAACCAGUACCGUGAGGGAAAGGCGAAAAGAACCCCGGCGAGGGGAGUGAAAAAGAACCUGAAACCGUGUACGUACAAGCAGUGGGAGCCCCACCACUAAGCCAGUGGUGAACUCCACAUCCGCAUCCUUUGCUGAGGAUACGGUUAACGGAGCGAAAGCGACGUUCAACCGCAAAACAAGCAGAGGGGGCUUAGUGGUGGGGUGACUGCGUACCUUUUGUAUAAUGGGUCAGCGACUUAUAUUCUGUAGCAAGGUUAACCGAAUAGGGGAGCCGGAGGGAAACCGAGUCUUAAUUGGGCGUUAAGUUGCAGGGUAUAGACCCGAAACCCGGUGAUCUAGCCAUGGGCAGGUUGAAGGUUGGGUAACACUAACUGGAGGACCGAACCGACUAAUGUUGAAAAAUUAGCGGAUGACCUGUGGCUGGGGGUGAAAGGCCAAUCAAACCGGGAGAUAGCUGGUUCUCCCCGAAAGCUAUUUAGGUAGCGCCUCGUGAAUUCAUCUCCGGGGGUAGAGCACUGUUUCGGCUAGGGGGCCAUCCCGGCUUACCAACCCGAUGCAAACUGCGAAUACCGGAGAAUGUUAUCACGGGAGACACACGGCGGGUGCUAACGUCCGUCGUGAAGAGGGAAACAACCCAGACCGCCAGCUAAGGUCCCAAAGUCAUGGUUAAGUGGGAAACGAUGUGGGAAGGCCCAGACAGCCAGGAUGUUGGCUUAGAAGCAGCCAUCAUUUAAAGAAAGCGUAAUAGCUCACUGGUCGAGUCGGCCUGCGCGGAAGAUGUAACGGGGCUAAACCAUGCACCGAAGCUGCGGCAGCGANUGCUGGAGGUAUCAGAAGUGCGAAUGCUGACAUAAGUAACGAUAAAGCGGGUGAAAAGCCCGCUCGCCGGAAGACCAAGGGUUCCUGUCCAACGUUAAUCGGGGCAGGGUGAGUCGACCCCUAAGGCGAGGCCGAAAGGCGUAGUCGAUGGGAAACGGGUUAAUAUUCCCGUACUUGGUGUUACUGCGAAGGGGGGACGGAGAAGGCUAUGUUGGCCGGGCGACGGUUGUCCCGGUUUAAGCGUGUAGGUGUGUGUUCCAGGUAAAUCCGGUUCACUUUAACACUGAGGCGUGACGACGAGGCACUACGGUGCUGAAGCAACAAAUGCCCUGCUUCCAGGAAAAGCCUCUAAGCAUCAGGUAACACGAAAUCGUACCCCAAACCGACACAGGUGGUCAGGUAGAGAAUACCAAGGCGCUUGAGAGAACUCGGGUGAAGGAACUAGGCAAAAUGGUGCCGUAACUUCGGGAGAAGGCACGCUGACACGUAGGUGAAGUGAUUUACUCAUGGAGCUGAAGUCAGUCGAAGAUACCAGCUGGCUGCAACUGUUUAUUAAAAACACAGCACUGUGCAAACACGAAAGUGGACGUAUACGGUGUGACGCCUGCCCGGUGCCGGAAGGUUAAUUGAUGGGGUCAGCGUAAGCGAAGCUCCUGAUCGAAGCCCCGGUAAACGGCGGCCGUAACUAUAACGGUCCUAAGGUAGCGAAAUUCCUUGUCGGGUAAGUUCCGACCUGCACGAAUGGCGUAAUGAUGGCCAGGCUGUCUCCACCCGAGACUCAGUGAAAUUGAACUCGCUGUGAAGAUGCAGUGUACCCGCGGCAAGACGGAAAGACCCCGUGAACCUUUACUAUAGCUUGACACUGAACAUUGAGCCUUGAUGUGUAGGAUAGGUGGGAGGCUUUGAAGUGUGGACGCCAGUCUGCAUGGAGCCGACCUUGAAAUACCACCCUUUAAUGUUUGAUGUUCUAACGUGGACCCGUAAUCCGGGUUGCGGACAGUGUCUGGUGGGUAGUUUGACUGGGGCGGUCUCCUCCUAAAGAGUAACGGAGGAGCACGAAGGUUGGCUAAUCCUGGUCGGACAUCAGGAGGUUAGUGCAAUGGCAUAAGCCAGCUUGACUGCGAGCGUGACGGCGCGAGCAGGUGCGAAAGCAGGUCAUAGUGAUCCGGUGGUUCUGAAUGGAAGGGCCAUCGCUCAACGGAUAAAAGGUACUCCGGGGAUAACAGGCUGAUACCGCCCAAGAGUUCAUAUCGACGGCGGUGUUUGGCACCUCGAUGUCGGCUCAUCACAUCCUGGGGCUGAAGUAGGUCCCAAGGGUAUGGCUGUUCGCCAUUUAAAGUGGUACGCGAGCUGGGUUUAGAACGUCGUGAGACAGUUCGGUCCCUAUCUGCCGUGGGCGCUGGAGAACUGAGGGGGGCUGCUCCUAGUACGAGAGGACCGGAGUGGACGCAUCACUGGUGUUCGGGUUGUCAUGCCAAUGGCACUGCCCGGUAGCUAAAUGCGGAAGAGAUAAGUGCUGAAAGCAUCUAAGCACGAAACUUGCCCCGAGAUGAGUUCUCCCUGAGACUUAGAGUCUCCUGAAGGAACGUUGAAGACGACGACGUUGAUAGGCCGGGUGUGUAAGCGCAGCGAUGCGUUGAGCUAACCGGUACUAAUGAACCGUGAGGCUUAACCUUACAACGCCGAAG
rnacentral:rRNA from 1 species